rnacentral:rRNA from 1 species
AGAGUUUGAUCCUGGCUCAGGACGAACGCUGGAGGUAUGCCUCAUACAUGCAAGUCGAACGAGAUUCGAUAGAGCUUGCUCUAUUGAUGAGAGUGGCGCACGGGUGAGUAACGCGUGGGUAACCUGCCUCGAAGUUUGGGAUAACACUGGGAAACCAGUGCUAAUACCGACUAAUUUUUAUUACUGUAUGGUGAUUUAAUAAAAGAUGCCCUCUUCUAUGGUAUCGCUUCGAGAGGGGCCUGCGUCCUAUUAGCUAGUUGGUGGGGUAACAGCCUACCAAGGCUAAGAUGGGUAGCCGGCUUGAGAGAGUGAUCGGCCCACACUGGAACUGAGACACGGUCCAGACUCCUACGGGAGGCAGCAGUAGGGAAUAUUCCGCAAUGGGCGAAAGCCUGACGGAGCAAUACCUCGUGAGUGAUGAAGGCUUUAGGGUCGUAAAGCUCAGUCAGCAGGGAAGAAGGGCUAUGGUUCGAAUAGGGCUAUAGUUUUGACGGUACCUGCAGAGGAAGCCACGGCUAAUUACGUGCCAGCAGCCGCGGUAAUACGUAAGUGGCAAGCGUUGUCCGGAUUUACUGGGCGUAAAGAACGCGUAGGCGGUUUUCUAAGUUGGGGGUGAAAUCCUGAGGCCCAACCUCAGGCCUGCCUCCAAAACUGGAGAACUAGAGUUUCGGAGAGGAAGAUGGUAUUCCAUGUGUAGCGGUGAAAUGCGUAGAUAUAUGGGAGAACACCAAUGGCGAAAGCAGUCUUCUGGACGAAUACUGACGCUGAGGCGUGAAAGCGUGGGUAGCGAACAGGAUUAGAUACCCUGGUAGUCCACGCCGUAAACGAUGGGUACUAGUUGCUGGGGAUAAUAGUCUUCGGUGACGAAGUUAACGCAUUAAGUACCCCGCCUGGGGAGUACGGUCGCAAGAUUAAAACUCAAAGGAAUUGACGGGGGCCCGCACAAGCGGUGGAGUAUGUGGUUUAAUUCGAUGCAACGCGGAGAACCUUACCUGGGCUUGACAUCCAACGCUAUCCAUAGAGAUAUGGAGUUUGAUAGUAAUAUCGACGUUGAGACAGGUGGUGCAUGGUUGUCGUCAGCUCGUGUCGUGAGAUGUUCGGUUAAGUCCGGCAACGAGCGCAACCCUUGCCUCUAGUGUGCCAGCACGUAAUGGUGGGAACUUUAGAGGGACUGUCUGUGUUUACAGGAGGAAGGUGGGGAUGACGUCAAAUCAGCAUGCCCCUUAUGUCCAGGGCUACACACGUACUACAAUGGCUGGUACAACGAGGAGCGAAGCCGCGAGGUCAAGCAAAUCUCUAAAAGCCAGUCUAAGUUCGGAUUGGAGUCUGCAACUCGACUCCAUGAAGCUGGAAUCGCUAGUAAUCGUGGAUCAGAAUGCCACGGUGAAUACGUUCCCGGGCCUUGUACACACCGCCCGUCACACCACCCGAGUGACUUGCACCCGAAGUGGCUGACCCAACCUGCUUGCAGGAGGGAGGUUCCUAAGGUGUGAUUCGUAAGGGGGGUGAAGUCGUAACAAGGUAUCCCUACGGGAA